rnacentral:lncRNA from 1 species
CCCUGGAGGGCAGCCAGAAGAGAAUGGAAUCAGCCAGGAAUGGAGAGAGCAGCUGAAGCACAUUCAAGCCCGUCAAGCAGUUUAACAGGAAAAACCACUGAGCCUGAAACUUCUGAGAUGGUGUCCUGGAAUAGAACAUGUGGUGUUCUGUGA